rnacentral:rRNA from 1 species
CCGGUCUUAAACGGAAGCGGUAAUGCGCUCAAUGUAACUUAGGGCUAUUAAUUGUAGUUUAGGUGAAAGGUUUGACGAGUUUUUAACUGUGUCUAGUUUAUUGUAGCUAAAUUGAAUUGCAGGUGAAAAUGCCUGUUUUUGGUAGAGGGACGAGAAGACCCUGUGAAGUUUGAGUUUUGGCUGGGGCAGCAGAAAGGCAAGUUUAGACCAGGUGUGUCUUGAUGUGAUUAAUAGAAGGAGUUACUCCAGGGAUAACAGCGUAAGCCUAGACAGAUCUUAUAGAUAGGCAGGUUUGCGACCUCGAUGUUGGCUCUGGAUAUCCUUUUCCUGUAGCCGGGUUAAAUGGUUGGUUUG